GUUUUCCAGGUUGCUAUGGUGGCAUUAUUGCAUAGAUGAGGGACCAUCCACGAUUCAUACACAACAUCGACUGACGUGGUUUCAGAUUUGGAGCUGGAAGGGUGACCGUGUGUACAUACAGAUCAUGGACUAAGGUGUUGUCAGAUCUGCAGCAUAAAUGGGUUCCGUGGAAACGUACCUCUACGUCUAGGCAAUGGUAUAAUGGAUGGCCGACGUUCAGAUGUACAAAGCUAUACAGCAGAUUUUGGAGCAUAAAGGGUGUGUAUGUUUACUUUUUUGGCUCGACUAUUCGAAGAAUAGGGGAGCUAUUCUACUCGCCCAGGCAUCGGCGUGAGCGUCAUACAAAUGUUAAAGCUUGCGUACCAAACCAAAUAUUUUCAAAGUCCAUUGAAAUAUUGCUUUGAUAUUUUGUAUACUUGUUUACCAUCAUGACCCCAGUCUGUUAAAAGGAGGAGGCAAUUUUUUUUCAGCAUUUUGACUAAAUUAUGGCCCCUUUUCGACUUAGAACAUGCUUAUUGUAAUGUUAAAGUUUUACUCAUAGCUUAUAAAUAGUAUACUAUCAAGUACUGAGAAUAGUCGAGCGCGCUGUCCACUGACAACUCUUGUCUUACAUGUGGCAUCACUUUGAUAUAUUUGUUUCUCUUUUUACACAUGCCUCUCUGUAUGUAUACACGCAACAGGGUCACCAUGGGAACGUACCGCCACAAACACAUACAGACAAUGACUGACGUUCAGAUGAGCAGAUUUUAGAGCAUAUACGGUUAGUACAUGUAUGUCUACUUUUCCUUUUAUGUGGCAACGCUUUGAUACAUUUGUUUUUGUUUAUACACAUGCCUUUCUGUAUUUAUACAUUCAACCUCAACAGGGUUAUUAUGGAAACGUACCUAGGCAAUAGUAUAAAUGGGUGGCUGGCGUUUGGAUGUACAAAAACACACAGCAGAUUUUGGAUCAUAUAGGGUGUGUAUGUUUACUUUUUCUUUUUUGUGGCAACAUUUGGAUAUAUUUGUUUUUUAUUUUACACAUGCCUCUCUGUAUCUAUACAUUCAACAGGAUAACCAUGGAAACUAACAUCUACAUCUAGACAAAGGUUCAAGCAGCAGUGAGAGAAAUCCUGCAACCGAUCACUCGGCAAACGCUUAGCUUUAAGUAAUCUAAGCCUUGCUAGGGGCUGUAAAUGACUUCAGGCAAAACUUGAAUAUAAACAAACAUCUGGAUAAUAGGUGUGCUCAUUUAAUUAUUGAAAAAUGGUGUUUGCUGUUUUGUCAGGCUUUUGUUUACAAUAGCUCCUUGGUGGUGAUUGUGGUGUUGUUUGUGUGUUUGUGGUGGUGGUUUUGGUGUUUGUGGUGGUGGUUUUUGGAGUGUGUGAUGGUGGUUUUCGUGUUUGUGGUGUUUUUGUGUUUGUGGUGUUUUGGAGUUUGUAGUGGUGGUUUUGGAGUUUGUGGCGGUGGUUUUGGUGUUUGUGGUGUUGGUUUUGGAGUUUGUUGUGGUGGGUUUGGUGUUUGUG